GUCUCGUAGUGACCUGCGGAGGGAUCAUUACACAAAUAUGAAGGCGGGCUGGAACCUCUCGGGGUUACAGCCUUGCUGAAUUAUUCACCCUUGUCUUUUGCGUACUUCUUGUUUCCUUGGUGGGUUCGCCCACCACUAGGACAAACAUAAACCUUUUGUAAUUGCAAUCAGCGUCAGUAACAAAUUAAUAAUUACAACUUUCAACAACGGAUCUCUUGGUUCUGGCAUCGAUGAAGAACGCAGCGAAAUGCGAUAAGUAGUGUGAAUUGCAGAAUUCAGUGAAUCAUCGAAUCUUUGAACGCACAUUGCGCCCUUUGGUAUUCCAAAGGGCAUGCCUGUUCGAGCGUCAUUUGUACCCUCAAGCUUUGCUUGGUGUUGGGCGUCUUGUCUCUAGCUUUGCUGGAGACUCGCCUUAAAGUAAUUGGCAGCCGGCCUACUGGUUUCGGAGCGCAGCACAAGUCGCACUCUCUAUCAGCAAAGGUCUAGCAUCCAUUAAGCCUUUUUUUCAACUUUUGACCUCGGAUCAGGUAGGGAUACCCGCUGAACUUAAGCA
rnacentral:rRNA from 1 species